ACCUUUCCCUCCCCUCACUCUCCUCCCUCUCAUGCGUACAACGUACGCCUCUCCCCCUCUCAUCGAUUCUUCCAUAGCCCAGCCCGGCGCCACCGUACGCCGCCAAAUCUCACCUCCACCACCGGCAGCUUCCCCUCACACCGGCGACCUCCCACCGUCAAAGCCAGCCUCCACCGCACGGCCACUCUCUCCCACGCACAGACGCAACCUCUCACACACGGUUUCACCGUGCGCAGCCCUUUCCACCGCCGUAUGCGGCCACCCAGGCCACCACACCGCCACCAACACCCUCCCCUCCCACCGGUGAACCUCUACCAUGGAACCCAAGCCACGGCAACCUCCCUCUCCCCUUCCGUCGCACGCACGCACGAAACCCAUAAAUGGGUUUCGCACGGCUUCAAGGCCACCGACGGCCCUAGCGCCGCCGUGCACCGGUUCCAGCCCCACCGAGCACCACCACGAGCUCCCCCUUCCCUUCCCCUUCCUCCUCCCCUUGGUCCGAAGCCCAUAGCCCCUUCCUCAGCCGCACGGAGCUCCUUCGACGCACGGGUUCUCCAUACCCACGGCGGAGCUCCGCCUCCCACGGCCACUGCACCACCACCAAGAGCUUCCCCUUCCACCGGCGACCUCCCCUAGCCACUCCCAGGUCCAGCCGAGCCACCUAGCUCCCGCACUCUCUCUCACUCUCCCACGGCUCCUCUCCACUUUACGGCUCAGAUCCGCCGCCGUAGACCACCGUGGCGCCACCCAGCGCCAUCUCAAGUUCCACCGCACCUCCCUCAGCUCCUCCAUGGCCAGUCAUGACCAGCCAAGCCUCCCUCCGGAUUCCCAUGUCGAGACCCACGACCAUAGCUCCUCCACGAGCCGCCGUGUCUCUGACGAAUGUCACCUCAGCACCACCACGAGACCACCACUCCAAAAUUACGACCUGACCCUCCUACACUUAGACCAGCACCUCUAGCCACCUCUAAUGGCCAAGGCAGCCAUUGUACGUAUGACCCUUCUGACAUCAUCAAUUGUGACGAUCAGUGAGCAACGCACGGGUUAUCCUGUCGAUGGGUUUGAAACAGUGAUAUCGUAUUGCUCUUCAUCCACACGGUUGUCCCUCUAUUUGGUCUUCUACUUGUGUUUUGGAAGGGGCUAAGAGCUUAAGGACCUAUAUUGAUGAUGGAAGUAUCGAGGAGCAUAGAGGAAAUGACGAGAAGUUUGGGAAGCAAUGCAUUACUGCAGAGGGAGGGGCAGACGUUUAGGACCUUCCCUAACUAGAACAGUUAUGUUUAUGGAUGAUAGGUUAUGUUUUUAUGAAUGUAUGGACUCUAAAGAGUAGUUUGGAUUCAGAGAUGAGUUGAGAUGGUUUGUGAAUAGUAGAAUAAAAAUUAAAUUAUUUAUUAUAUUUUGUGUGAAAAUUGAGAAAGUUAUAAUGAUGAGUAAGAUGAGUUGAAGUGGGUUUUGAAUGCAAACAAGGCCUAAGAGUCUUUUAUAGAUGAAUGUUCAAAUAAAAUGUCCAUCAGA